GCGAGCGCCUCCUGAACUAUCGGGCACCAUAGGGGAAACUCUAUGAGUGAAUGUGGUUAAAUUCGGUGAACCCUAAAAAAUGAGUAAACACUUUUUACAUUUCAUGGGAAUACCGAGCCAAGCCUGAGCAUUAAAACUAUACAGUAUAUGAUCUGUAAGUUUUCUCAGGAAGGUGUAGAGACUAGAAAGCCACCACCUAAAGACUCACAGUCUAUGGUGAAGGUAUAGUCCAGAGAGUGGGGAAACUCACAC
rnacentral:ncRNA from 1 species